UGUGGGAUUUGAAGUGUGAUUUGCGCUGCUCAGGACACUCGCGGGCAUUCCGGUGGCAGGAGGACCAGUGGGUGAAAUAUCAGGGCGGAGCUUUCCCAGCUUGGCAGAUGGAUGCCUUGUGAACUUAAAGGCAAAGUAAUCAACAUAACAUAAAUCGCAUGAUGCAAUUUCACAGGGUCGGACGCCACUACACGUUCUAGAUGAUAGUAGACCUACUUUUAUUUUAUUUUAUUAUAGUGUUAAUGGCAAAGCUGCUAUUGUAAAAGUCUUAUUAAAUGUACGGUAUGAUGCGGUGGUGCUUUGCACGAGCACGAACUGCGUUGGGAGGGAGGUGUCGAGCCCAGAGGCAGAAUUCGGCCAAUUAAAGUCGCCGACCCCCUUUGCAACACAUCAGCCCGCUAAGGGAGGGCUCUGAGCUUGAGCGAUGUGUGCGGUUUCCAAGGCAACCACUUGUCCUGACCUCCCCAUCCCCAUCCUCCUCAGACAAGAUUGGUUUCCAUGGUAAUGAUUGUAUCUCCCCGCAUGUUUCUAUUCCCGUAAAGCAAGCUGAGUGAACGGUCGGAAAGUAGUCUGCUUUUCAUCAAAGUCUGUCGGACAAUUUCUAUUUGCAUUAGUUCUGUGAGAAAAUAUGCAUUUAUGGAGGGUGGUUAUUUUCCCUAACACAAAUAAAGCAACGUCUGAGACACUAUCUAUAUAAAUAACAGAGAUGUGUGUAUGAAAUAAUUGUGAAUUAUGCUUUUUUUCUCUAUUAGGACUGGUGGCCGAUGCCUUUCUCAUAUGUUCACUUUUAAUAUGUUGCAAUACAUGGAACACCUUUAAUGGUCUAGGUAAUUAAAAUGAAGAGACCUGCUUGAGAUGUAGUUUUGUAGGACAGUCAAUUACUUUUGUAGGAAAUGUUUCAAGGUAGAUGUCACUGGUUACAAAUGAACUCACUUCAGUUCUCCUGUCUGAGCCUUUCUAGCUCUUCUGGAAUUUUAGCUUCCUGUAACCUGUUGAGACUCAUCUGCAUGCCACAGACUGAGGGUGUGUUCACCAAAAGGAGGGAGGUGGAGUGGAAAGAUACAGAGAAUGAAAGAAAGAGGGAGCUGUAUCUCUCCCUCUCACACAGGUAUAAACAGACAAAUACACACACUCACUUAAACUCUUUCGCUCUUUUAAUCUCCAACACACAUGCGCAUGCACACACAUACACAUUCUAGGUAUUUGCUCAUAUUUUCUGGAGAGAACUGUGUGAUGUCCCGGCGAUCUCUCAAGACAACAUUUUCCAGGCUAACAGUUAUCUUCAAUCACAGCAUAGUUGAACUAUAUUGUGAGUUUAGUUGGUAUUUACUUGUAUAACCCAGAUAUUAAGUCUGCCAUACUUCAUAUUGUAAAGAGGUUGUACUUUUCUAACAUUUAAAGGAUCAGUUACAUAAUGAAAGUUGCCCUUGAUGUUUGAUUACUAUGCAUGAAUCAAAACAUCUGUAAAAUGUACCAAAUUAUUUUAAUAAUUCAAUAAAAAUUUAAAUGACAGAAAUACUUGAUAGAUUUAUUUUUGAGCUGAUAAUGCAUUCCAGAAUUAUCCACCACAAAUAGAAAUAUUCUUACUAUAUUAUAUUUUUAUCUCUCUGUUGAAAUGUCUCCAAAAAGGUCUAAUAACACAAAGUGUUUAUAUGUGUAUACCUCACAAAGUCCAAG